GUUGGUCAAGGGGUUAAGACACCUCCCUUUCACGGAGGUAACAGGGGUCUCGAAUCCCCCACAGUCACCA
rnacentral:tRNA from 1 species